rnacentral:lncRNA from 10 species
UAGACUCCAUCGCUCUUAACCACUGGACGGUAUUAUCUGUGUGUCGAAAAUGAAGGCCAGACUUCUAAAGUGACGAUAGGAGGGAAAAAGGGAGAGAAGGAACCACACAAAAGACAAGGCCACUCUGUGACCAUGGAAGAACAAGAUAGAAACAAUCCACAAUCAAGUCUGAACCAAGACACAGGGAGCUCCUGGCAGCCUCACCGAAGAGGAGUAAUGUGCUGACAGUGGUAAUUAGAGAAAAUUAAUAUGGUAUAAUGGACGCCUCAGAGACCGACUCCUCUGUCAGGCCUUUCCCAUUGUGAGAUGUUGAGGGACGGGAUCAGCCAGGAAGAAACGGGAAGGAAGACAACCGAAAGACAGUUCCAGGAAACAGUAAGAGGACUUGGUGACAGCUCAGAAAAGGGAGUUGAAAAACAGAGGGCCACAAGAGAUUACCAGCCAGGGAGAGGCACUGGGUUGAAGGGAGGGUUCUGCACCAGGAGUCAGCCACAUAGUGGUGGUGUGACUGCAAGCAAGUACCCUCACCUCUCUGAGCUUCAGUUUCUCUCCUCUGCUAAAGGAGGGGUGUUGGUGAUAAGAAUUUGGUGAUAAAGUCCUUGCCAGCUCUAACAUUCUAACGGCUGUGAAACUGGAAGAACAAGGAACAGGCACACAAUACCAUGAAAAGAAUCAACAUAUGACUUCAAGAUCUAGUAGGAGUGGAACAGGGUGAAUAUGAAGAGGAAGCAGCAAGUCAAACAAUCCAUCCAAGAGAACACACCUGCAAGGACAGGAAGAAACAGGACUUUACCAGAAGAAAACUAAGAUGUACAUCUGGAAAUAAACUGACACAUGGAGAAUAAAGAAUCACUUA